rnacentral:rRNA from 1 species
AAAUUACCAAGGAGCAGGUAUCAGGCACAACCCGUUAGCCCAAAACACCUUGCUACGCCACACCCACACGGGCACCCAGCAGUGAUAAAUAUUAAGCAAUGAGUAAAAACCAACUAAAGCUCGACUUAGUUAUGAUUAUUAGAGCCGGUAAACCUCGUGCCAGCCACCGCGGUUAUACGAGGGGCCCAAAACAACGGAAAUCGGCGUAAAUUGUGACUAGAGUAUCUACUUAUAUCAUUGGAAAAUAAACAAAAACUCAACCGUAAAACCCGAGUCAAAAGAAACAUAGUUUUCCAACUACAAAGAAACUUGAACCCACGAAGACUAAGAAACAAACUAGGAUUAGAUACCCUACUAUGCUUAGUUGUUAACAUGAUACCAAAAAACACCAGUAUCCGCCAGAAGAUUACACGCGAAAAGCUUAAAACUCAAAGGACUUGGCGGUGCUCCGUAUUCGCCUUAGAGGAGCCUGUCCUAUAAUCGAUAACCCACGUUUUACCUUACCAUCUUUUGUCAAUACAGCCUAUAUACCGCCGUCGCAAACUUACCCCAUGAGGGAACAACAGUAAGUAAAAUAGUAACACACUAACACGUCAGGUCAAGGUGUAGCUAAUAAGAUGGAAGAGAUGGGCUACAUUUUCUAAAACAGAACACACGGCAAAGAGCACUGAAAUAUGCUCUAAAAGGUGGAUUUAAUAGUAAGAUAGAAAAGAAAACCUAUCUAAAAC